AUGGCGAGCGCGGGCGUCCAGCCCAAGCAGAGUUGGCUGCGCCGUCUGAGGCGACAGAAGGUGCAGAUCCGUGAGUGGCGGGCAGCACCUCAGGAGGCUGAGGAGCACCGUGACUCCUGGGCUGGGCCUGGCGCGCAGGCGGCAGCAGCAGAGAGCCGGGCAGCGGCCCCGCACAGCCCCAGGGCCCGCGGCCGGGCUCUGCUGCACUCGCUGCGGCGCGGCUCCCGGGCCAUCCUGAGCAGGGUGGCGGCUGUGAUCCGGCCACACGGCCAGCAGCCGGGGACACAGCAGCACCGCUCAGGGACGGCGGCAGCAGCUCCCGCAGCAGGGGCACAGAGUCGGGCAGCUGCCCCGCACAGCCCCUGCUGUGUCCCCAGCCCCUCGCCCGGCCAGCUGGAAGAGCUGGGGCUGCGGGCAGGGCCGGCAGGGAUGACGCUCCUUAAGGAGCUAGGGAGCGAGGAGUGGCACUGGUCUGAUGAUUGCCAAGCUGAGAGUGGCCAGGGUGAAAGCCUCUCAGAGUCCAGUUCCUAUGAUGCAGAUGAACUGGAGCAUUACAGAGGCACAGGACCAUUCCUAGGGGGUGGGGAAAGGUCCCGCUCUGAGAAGCUCAGGUCUGGCUCAUCCACAGGGUGGGCAAUAGAGACAGACCUGAGCAGGAGCGCUGAGGAGGAGAGCACCUCAUGGUCCCUCCAAACUGAGGCAUGGCCCGAAGACACAGAGCUAAACAGGAUGACCAGGGAAGAGAUUGGCUUAGUGUCCCUGCCACGCAAGGCGUGGACAGAAGACCAAGUCGGAAGCUGCAGCAUUGAGGAGGACAAUGCCUCUGGGUCCCUGUUAUGUGAGUCAUGGGCAGAAAGCUCAGAUUCUGAGUCCUGCAUAUUGCUAGAGGAUGGUCUAGAUGAGCUGGAGGCAGCCUGGAUCUGCCAAUCCCAGGUGAACCCACCGCUCCUGUACAUGGGCACAGGUAUCAGAAGUCCGGAGUCAGAAGGAAGCCUGUCUCAAAUGGAAGAUACAGAGACAUUUAACAGAGAAAGGCAGACUGUCCUGAAGGCCGCUUUUUGGGAGGACUUGGAGAGGGAGAGGCAGUUAAUUGAGCGUUUGCAAGGCCUGGACUCAGCUGCAGCUGUCCCUGUGCAGCACCUGCUCCCCUUCAGGAGGGCACUCAAGGCUCUGCGCAGGGCAUUCCGGAGCCUCAGACACCUCAUUCCAGGGCUCCAUUCUUAGGAGUGUCUUAGAUUCCAAUAAAUAAAAUGCAACCAAGAGUGUGUAUUCUAUC
rnacentral:lncRNA from 1 species